GCCUCGGUGGUCGAAUUGGUUGAGACGCCCGCCUAGUAAGCGGGGGGGUUCAGGUUCAAACCCUGGUUGAGGUA